GACGAACGCUGGCGGCGUGCUUAACACAUGCAAGUCGAACGGAAAGGCCCUGCUUUUGUGGGGUGCUCGAGUGGCGAGCAGGGGAGUAACACGUGAGUAACCUGCCCCUAAAUUUCGGAUAACUUCAGGGAACUGGGGCUCAUACCGGGUAGGAGCUCCUGCUGCAUGGGGGUCGUUGGAAAGAUUCGGCCGUUGUGGAUGGAUUCGCGGCUUAUCAGCUUGUUGGUGGGGUAGUGGCUUACGAAGGGUUUGACGGGUAGCCGGCCUGGGAGGGUGACCGGCGUCAUGGCGACUGAGAGACGCCGCAGAAUCGUAUGUGAGGCAGCAGUCGGGAACAUUGCGGAGUGGGGGGAAGCGUGAGGCGGCAACCCCGCGUUCGUGAUGCCCGCUUACGAGGUGUAAACCGCUGUCGCCGGUGACGAAGCGUGAUUGACGGUAACGGGUAAGAAAGCACCGGCUAACUACGUG
rnacentral:rRNA from 1 species